rnacentral:rRNA from 1 species
GAUGAACGCUGGCGGCGUGCCUAAUACAUGCAAGUCGAGCGAACAGACGAGGAGCUUGCUCCUCUGACGUUAGCGGCGGACGGGUGAGUAACACGUGGAUAACCUACCUAUAAGACUGGGAUAACUUCGGGAAACCGGAGCUAAUACCGGAUAAUAUAUUGAACCGCAUGGUUCAAUAGUGAAAGACGGUUUUGCUGUCACUUAUAGAUGGAUCCGCGCCGCAUUAGCUAGUUGGUAAGGUAACGGCUUACCAAGGCAACGAUGCGUAGCCGACCUGAGAGGGUGAUCGGCCACACUGGAACUGAGACGCGGUCCAGGCUCCUACGGGAGGCAGCAGUAGGGAAUCUUCCGCAAUGGGCGAAAGCUUGACGGAGCAACGCCGCGUGAGUGAUGAAGGUCUUCGGAUCGUAAAACUCUGUUAUUAGGGAAGAACAAAUGUGUAAGUAACUAUGCACGUCUUGACGGUACCUAAUCAGAAAGCCACGGCUAACUACGUG